GGACGAACGCUGGCGGCGUGCUUAACACAUGCAAGUCGAGCGGUAAGGGCCCUUUCGGGGGGUACACGAGCGGCGAACGGGUGAGUAACACGUGGGUGACCUGCCCUCAGCUCUGGGAUAAGCCUGGGAAACCGGGUCUAAUACUGGAUAUGACUCCAUGACGCAUGUUGUGGGGUGGAAAGCCUUGUGCGGCUGAGGAUGGGCCCGCGGCCUAUCAGCUUGUUGGUGGGGUGAUGGCCUACCAAGGCGACGACGGGUAGCCGGCCUGAGAGGGCGACCGGCCACACUGGGACUGAGACACGGCCCAGACUCCUACGGGAGGCAGCAGUGGGGAAUCUUGCGCAAUGGGCGAAAGCCUGACGCAGCGACGCCGCGUGA
rnacentral:rRNA from 1 species